rnacentral:rRNA from 1 species
UUCGUAGGCGGUGCGGCAAGUCGGGAGUGAAAUCUCUGGGCUCAACUCAGAGGCUGCUUCCGAAACUGCCGCGCUAGAGUGCGGGAGAGGUCAGUGGAAUUGCAGGUGUAGCGGUGAAAUGCGUAGAUAUCUGCAGGAACACCCGUGGCGAAGGCGGCUGACUGGACCGUAACUGACGCUGAGGAACGAAAGCUAGGGGAGCAAACAGGAUUAGAUACCCUGGUAGUCCUAGCCCUAAACGAUCAGGACUUGGGGUGCAUCCCGUUGGGGGUGCGUCCCGUAGCUAACGCGUUAAGUCCUGCGCCUGGGGAGUACGGUCGCAAGGCUGAA